AGCGUUGGGUUGGGGCGGAACGCGGCCGGAGGGAGCGCAGAGAGCUGCUGGCUAAAAAUACUGAAGAAAGAGGGUUGGGAAAAAGCUUUGCACAAAAUCACAUGGUGGGGAGGGUGCUCCAGAGAGGAGGCAGAGAGAGAAAGGCAGGCAGCGGGGUCGGGAGCGGCCGCGGGGUUGGCACGGAGCUGCCGGCUGGGCGUAGGGCUUUAGCCCAGCUGUGCUCGGAGCAGCGCGAGUCUCUGGGCUUAGCAGCUGAAUCUGAUCUUCUUCAGUAAGUGAUAAGAAAGCAGUGUAAGCUUGGAACGUCCUGCAGGUAGCCUACAGGCUUCGUGUAAAGCCCUGCACGAGGAGAAGCCUCGCUGAGGCUGUGCAUUGUGGGCCUGGUCCUCAGCAGAAGGGGCGAAGGUCUGGUGGGGGGAUCUGCUCCGUGCUGGGCUGUGCUCAGCACCCGGGGGGGCCAGGCUCAUGCACACCAAGCAGGGACAGCUGCUUCCCUCCUCCUCAUCCUUGGUUCCCAGGGGAGUACAUCUGGCCAGCUGCAGCCAGGCCAUUCUCCAGCACCAGCUUGCCCUGCCCCAGAGGCGCUUGCUGUGUCCUGUCCCUGGACCGAGGCACUUUGGGCUGCAGUUGCAGAUGCUGGUGCAGCCCUGCUCUGCUCUGUGACAGUGGCAAUUGCAAACUUUCCAAGUGUGGGCAGUCAGGUGGUUAAAAAGCUGCUGAUUGCAGAGGUGCCCAGCACAGAAACCUGGGCUUCAGACACCUGGCUCUUGUUACUUGCAAGGUAGUGCAUUUGGUCAGGCUCCUGCUGCACACGUGGGCUUUCAUUCUACCUUGCAGUGGAAGUGGACAUGGCUGUGUUGCCUCCAUGCCAGCAGUUGUGUUGCUGCCUUUGGAGCACUCUGCCAUGAACUUGCAGGAAGGCAAGAAGCUCACCAUAUGGUGCUGUGCCUUACAGUAAUUAACCUCAGAGUGAUGGAUGUCCAGGCCAAGGUGUUGGCAUCUGUCAAAGUGAAGCUGGUGAUGUGCAGGGGCUGGCUGGGAAGGGUUAGGUGGAUCAAGGGUCCCAGAUUCUAGCUGGGAGGAAGAACUGCAGCAGCGAUGGUGUGGCUCCCAGGUAAUUAGGAAGCUAGCUGGCUAUGGGGGCUCUGCCAGCAGAGGAUGCUAUGCUGAUGGCCAAGCAAACAAGGACAAUCCAAGGACCAAAGUGAGAGCCCAAAUUAAUAUCUUUUAUGAUUCUUAGGCUCAGUUCACUCCUGCAUCCUGAUUGAAAGGGAAACGGCCAAGUAUUUUGGCUGUGCUCAGAGCUGCGGAGGCUAGCGGUGUUAGUGCUCCAUUGGCCAGCGAGGACGGGGAGGAUUUCAGCUAUAUUCAAGUUAAUGCUAUCAUUUAUUUUAGGUAAUUGUUUGGGUUUUUCCUGGAGUGUCUGAAGCCUCCUGAAGUGAGCUAUUAGGAUGCUAAAUCAGAAUCAAGCUGAGUGGAGGGAGAGUGAGAAACUGAUUUUGAGGCACGUGAAAUGAUCGUAUUUGCGUAAUAAACAAAUGCAGAGGAGAAGAGUCAGGGCAGGGCAGUCAGUUAAGUGAGAGGGAUGGUAAUAUCCUUUGAGUUGAAAAAUGUACUUUAGCUCCUUCCAGGCUUUGUGUCCCAUGCAUGCACUGCAAUUCAGCAGCACUGCUUUCUGCAGGGGAGGGACAGGAACGGAGAGCAGGCUUCCCAGGGGAGAGGUGUGAGCAGUGGGAUGCCCUGCACAGGGACGUCGUGCACCAGCAGGCCCUGGAACAAAAAAAUAUUUUGUGAAGUUGACAGUCACGGGUUCCCUGGCUUGUGGAAGUUGUGGAAGUCCCUGUUGUGUUGCCCUGGCAGUGGAAGCUGCUGCCAUUUAUCAUGACAGUCAUGCCAGGGAAAGCAGAUUCUGCUCAGAAAAACGCCCACAUAUUUCCUCUGGGAUAUUCUGUAAGUAAAAAUUUCCACAUGAGAUAUGAAGAAGGCAAUAUUUAUAUUAAAAGAAUAACAUGUAAGUGGAGUGGAGAAGUAGCUUGCUACAAUUAAAAAAAAAAAAAAAAGUUUUCCAUGUAGGGUCACAGAAAUUGAAAUAAAGGCUGUUUUUUUGUAUCACAUCCCUCAGCAGCACUGAUAUGCAUUGACUGACAUGACAGAUUGCUGAAACAGAUGUGGUAAAACUGACACAUGGAACUAAUAAUACUUUAUAUACAUCUCGCAAUGAAAUCGUCCCAAGAAAUGAGCAGGACCAAUAAAUGGCUCAGUUAGAAACCAGGAAACUGGUUUCUUAAUGUUUUUAUAUAGAUCUCCAGAGAGUUUCAACUGAAGGUACAGAUUUCUUAAUGUGCUCACUCAUACAGGAACAAACAAUUCCUUGCCCAUGCCUUGCAACGGGGUGUUCCUCCUCCAUCUGCAAAGCUGUGGGAUCUCAUUACCAGCUGGCACUGGGGUAACUGAUGCUAAACCACCAGGACAUGACUGGCUCAUGUGGCACACUGACUGCUGGCAUGUGGAUCUUUCAUGAAAACGAACAGCAAUCUGGUUUGGGUUCAAAGCCAAGACUUCAGUACAUUGCUCAGAUUCACCUUGUUAUAUUUGCAGAACAGCCAGCUGAGCAUUCUCAGCCUGUGUGGUGUUCCUGUGUUGGUUGGGAUGCUCCAUCUCCUUUCUGAAAGGCAGUCAGGCCUGAGCUUUGUGUAACACCUUUCCAUUCCAUUACAGAGGUUCUUUCUGUUGUUGCCUUGCUGAUGCCAAGCAUUUCAUAGCAGAGGACAGCAGCCUCCAGACUAGCUUUGUGUUUUAAAGCUUAUUCUACUGCUAAAAUGAAUCAACUGAAUGCUCGUAUUUCUCAUGCAUUCCCAUUCUUUUGUUCCAUCUUCUAUAUUGCCAUGCUUUGAAUCUCCUGAGUUAUCUCGAGCCAUUUGACUGGAAACUUUGACAGAAAUAUAUUUCUUGAACUCUUAUUUCUCAGUUAUUUCCCCAUUUAGUGUAUAAUACACACCAUUAAGAGACCUGCCACAGACAUUUUCAUUUUGAUUGUGAAUAGUUCUGCUCUGUUAUGAUGUGUUUGCUUUGCUGCAAGUGAUGUUCUUUUUUUUCUGCUUUUUGCAGGACCCCGCGGGAAUAUUUGAACUGGUGCAGGUUGUUGGCAAUGGGACGUAUGGACAAGUCUAUAAGGAGCAGGAAGGAGCAGCGCAGUUCACUCCUCUGCUGCCAAAGAAAUGUUCGGUGUGACAGUGCGGAUCUCUUAGACAUCCACUGGAAAAACAAGCAAGGAAUAUUGACAGUAAAGAUUAAAAACUGUAUCCAAAGACUGCUCUCCACUGAACACGCGAGACCAAGGUCUGCUCGCUGUGGAUGAGGAGAUCUGGAUCUGGGAAUAUGGCAGCACCAGGAGGGCCCAGCCUGCAGCACCACAGCUUCUGAAGGGACCAUUAGAAGCUGGGCACUGAUGUUCCCUUUGCUUUUUCACUGCUAGGACUGACGGAGCAUAUUGUAAUUAUUUUUUAGUUUAUCUAGUUAGAGUGUAAGCUUGAGAUCAUAAAUAUAUGAUUUAUAAAGCAAUGCUGGUUGUCCACUAGUGCAUGUUUUCAUUUUUUGGAGGCAUCGGAUUCUUCCAUGCGUUCAGAAAUAGAUACACACAGUAUCAAAGUAAAGCAUAUUUCAGGCUAAAUAAAGUAUGUUCAAGAUUACUAAACUGUUUGCUUGGCUCUGAAGAUGACUCAGAAGGCUCUGCGUUUUAAUAAAUGCAGCUGCAUAAAAAUGAAAAUAAAGUUUAGAACUAGAUUUAUUGUUGGAUUUAAAAAACAAUGUUUAACAGAUUUGUUGGAGGAGGAUGUUGUUUGUAGGGAAUUGUUCCGGACCAGCUCCAGUUCAGUGUCCUCUAAAUGAAAUGGAAGGGAUAUAAAUUGCACCAGUGACAAUGCUGGAGCUGUCUACAAAUGUCAUAAAGUCAGGAUUUGCAUAUAAUAACUGCCUGAAAGCUAGAGGGUUUGUUGACCACUUACGCAGUAGUAGGGUGUAACCAUGCCAGCAUUGGCAACUUCAGCCUCUGGAAAAGUAUGAAUUGGAUAUUAAAAAUGCAGAUAGUACUUAGAAGUCAUGAGACUCGGGCUUCAUUAUCUCUUGACAUGACGAAUGAGUUUUUCAGCUAAUUACUUGCUUCCAGGUGACACAGCCUGAAGAACAGAGCCUUGCACGGAGCAGUUCUGGGUGAGACCAGGGAAGGGAAGGUGGUGGCUGUUUCAGUGGAGGCAUUUGGGGCAGCUGGAGAAGUAUGCAUAGUUGCUUUUUCAUGCCCCUGCUUCCUGAGGCUUGAAGUGGAGGUCAGGUAGCAUGCAGGUCCUGCACCAUCUCCAUUGAUUGCAAAGAGAAGUUCCUGGGCUUUGCAUGCUCCAGUGUGAGCUUGGGGCUGUCCUCUGGAAGGAAGUGAGAUUGCUGAAGAUGUCACCCGCAAACUCUGGGGUUUCGCUUCCCUUCUGAGCUGCAGUCCCCUUGCCCUGUGGAUGCUUCCCAAAGCAGCUCAGAAGAGAAGCUGCAGGCUGCUGUCCUUUGGGGAGCAGUGGAGCCGUGGGAAGCAAUCUAGGAGAUAACAGCAUCUUUUUCUUUUUUGCUAGUAGUUGCUGCAUUAUGGUGACACAGCAGUGUGCUGUUGAGGGAGCACCUUUGCAAGCACUGUGGGGGAGCAGACUGGUCUUCACCACUAGUGCCCAAGGCUCUGUCUUGCAGUAGAGAGCUAGCAGUGUCCUCAUCUGGACAACCCUUUGCCCACUCCCACUACUUCCAGGACUUUAAUUAUAGGGAUGCUCUUGUUUUCCUUUCACAGUUGUACUCUACUACUAUGAAGAACUGGAUGGUGAUUGUGUGUCAGCCUUGAUGUAGAACAGUCUCAGCUCUAGCUCUGUGCUUGUGUGUUUAGUAGUAACUGAACUGUAAUUUUGUGCGUGUGUGUGAAAUACUAUUUUUUGCAAAGAUUUCAGCUCUUAGUUUCGUUGUGUGUGGCUUCCAUAGAAGCCUGUUAAUGUGUUUUCUGUCUUUUAAUUUUCAGUGCUCUGCUUUAAUUGCAGAGUCAGUUUUCUGGUGGGUGACUAGGGAAAAGGAGAGCAGGGCACCUGACAUGGGUGUGUUGUUUGAGUCAGACACUGCUCUUGAGCAUGUGGUCCAACUCUGGAAGAGAUGUUUAAGAUUCUCAGUUUAUAGCUUCCAUAUUGAUUUUUUUUUUUGUCAUCAAGGUAUAGUUAACAAGAUGAAUUUCUCCUAAUCCUACUAGUUCAGCUGGACUGUGGCAGUCCUCAGCCUUCUGAGAAGGCUUUCAUGGGUUGAAUGAAUUCAGCGUCUGUACACACUGUUCAUUUGCUGGUGUGGAGAAGCACCUGACUGGGGCUUCUGACUUCCCUUUAUCAUAACGAGGUCGAUUAUCCCUCUUCUGGGGCCAGCAUCUCUGGGCAGAAUGGGAAAUGAGAGGCCGGUGCCUUUGCCAUGAUCCAGGGGCUGACUUUUUGGAGUACGGUUUUGCAGACUGAUGGCAAACCAUGACAGGUCUGCAGCUGUUUGGCAUGCAGAAUGGUUGUGUUUGUCACAGAGUCUGAAGGCAUGGAGAACUUGAGAGGAGUGCUGUUUUGGGGCUGUGAAAUUGAAAAAGGAAGAUGUGGAUUCCCAGUAACACAGCUGAUGGAGACAAAGCAGUGUUCUUGCUGGGGAUUUGCAAAGAAGAGAAGCAACAGAACUAUCCUGCAGUCUCUCUGCACACCCAGUGCCUUUAUUUCUGUAUAGUCAGAUAAGAUGCUGGAUAUGUAAAAGAAGCAGGUCUGCGUAAGGAAGUGCCUUUUUGUUUUUUGAUAUAGCUGAUUCUUGGCAUUGAACCAUACUUCAGUGGUUGAUGGGAGUGAUGAGUUGCUCUGCUGUUGAGGUAUGGUGGCAGGGGUGUUGUGAAGCACAAAUACAACUUUUCAGUUUAUCUUAAUUUGCUGUCUGUCUGUCUGCUGAGCUCUUCAUAUUAAUUUUCAUUGACUAGCUGGCUGAAGUAAUUGAGAGCAAGGGGAAGGGGGAAGACAGUGCGGUUUUUCAGGGAGAUCUGAUACUCCAUGGGAAGAUCACAAGACCAUGCUAAAUUGCAAAGUGUGAUGGCAGUGCCUCGGGCAGUUAAAGGAAAGCUCAAGGUAAGGAAUGUUACCAUUAUGCCCAUUGCAGUCCAGAAGGUGAAUGUGAAUAGGCUGAAAACUCCCAAGAGAUCUCUUUGGGGCAGUCAGGAGCAGCCACAUGAUGGAUGCCUCUUGCAGCUGAAAUGCAACAGUCUCCAGACUGCUGCCAAGAGAGAUUAGAGAUGUCAUAUCAUCUCAGGGCAUCUUGUUAACAUCUGUGGUCAGUUAUGCUUUUAAAGCCAAUCUCAGCCUUCAGGGCACUGAGAUUUUGGUCAGACAAGUGGUUGUUCUUUAUAGAAAUGAUGGAACACUGCUUCUACUUCACACACAGUUGGUAGCAGCGUUUGUCUAUUCAUUUUCUAUACUUGGGUUUUUAGUAGCGUUGAUUAUCAACCCAGGCCGUUCUAUGAUUCUAUGAUCGUGUCCACCUGCAAAACGAGUUAAUGGUAGAUAGCAGUGCCGAAGUCAGCAGGUUUAGGUGUGCAUGCCUGGGCUCAGCAGUGUGAGCAGACGGUGGAGAUGAGCUGCUCAUCCCGGCAGUAGGGGCUUCGUUCAGGAAAAAGUCUGAACUUCAUAUGUGCUAGUGCCAUCAUGAUGAGAUCUGACAUGCUGUGGUGCUUAUGAGCACAUCUCAGAGGCUGAGUGUUCCUAGAGGGGUUACCAUCCCAUUUGGUAUCACUUGGUACAUGCCAGUGCUGGAAUUUUCUGUCCUCGACUUCUCAUUAAACCAUCUGAGAAGCUACUUAAGGGCGUCAACUCAAACUGUUUCUCAUGAGUGACUCCAGUGUGGCCAGUUCUCAAGGCAUCAUUGUCCAUUGUGAACAGCUUGGUGGUGAUCUUAUUUCCUUGAUCCUCAGCUUUGUCAAAGCCCAUACUUGUGUAACAGUUCAGUAAGGUUUACUCAUGCUUCCAGACCCUGAGGGGAGAUGUCCUGGGAGCUGAAGAGCAGCUGGAGCUUACCUAAAAUUAAUUUCUGUAAAUCACCUUUGUAUUUCUUGGAAGGGAGUUUUCUCUAGACUUGAAGUACUCUAUGCCUUAUAUUCCUGACGGCUUUUUACACCUGGGUGCUGUGUGCAGGACUUGUUAAUCUCAAUGGAUACAUCAUACCCAACAUCAAGUCACUUACACACUAUCUAUCUGGUGACACUGAAGAAUAAGCAAAGCAGUAGUGAAAAUAUCUUUUAUUUAUGAACAUAUAUUUUAAAAAAGUAACAUAGCUUGUGUAUUCAGUUCUCAGAACCUGAGUCUAGUUUUUUUCAGGGUCUUUUUGUUUUUUGUUUUUUGUUUUUUUUUUAAAUCUUGGCUUCUCUGGUUAAUUGCAGGGUAAUGCUAAACAAUAUUCAGCAUGGGAAUUUAAAAUAAUGGCUCAUACAUGUGGAAUUAAUUAGCAAGUCCUGAAGUCCUGGUUCUAGUUAGUGAAUAUUUUAGAGGAAUUCAAUUAAGAUUCUUAAGUGUAGGGCUAGUUUAUCAAAAAUAGAAGAGUAAGAAUGUGAAAAAAAGGCCUCUCAGCUGUGGUGUGCUUCUAAUACAAUAAAUGCUCUUUGAGUGAGCAGAGCAGUGUACAAUAAUUAGAUGUGCCAUAUCAGCCAUUAGAGAAUAGUAAAAUCCUUGCAAAUAACUUGUUGUCAGGCCUGCCACUUCCAGCUCCUCCAUAUUUUCAACCUGAAUGUCCACAUGGGAGAGCGCAGUGCAUUUUGUCACAAACUGGAGGCGUUUCGAGCUCGGAUGUUGGCGCUGGGACAUGCUGCUUUGAAGCUAAGAGAAUAUCCUAAAA